CCAGAACUGGAACCGCCAGACCCAAAUAGACCCAGAACCGGAACCGGAUACAGCCUUACUCCUAUUCCAAGAAAACCAACCAGAAGCUCUCUCCUUUCUUCCUUCAUUAUUUUAUGGGUUGAUUCGUGUGCUGCUGCUUUUGAUCGCAGAAGGUUUUGGAUUGUAGGCUUGGAGCUACAUAAGUGAUUAUAGCUACCAGUUUCCUAAUUAAUGUACCACAGAAAAUUUCUCUAGGUAUAUCUCCAAUUACAGAAAAUUUGGUUAUGGUGUAUCCCCUCUGAAAGGAAUGUAUUCAGACUCGAGCAAACUUAGCCUGUCUUUUACAGUUAUAAGAUCUAUUCAAGCCAAUUAGUUGAUUUCCAUUAUUUUGCAUGCCCUAGAACUAGAAUGUCUUGGAGUUGGUGUACUGGCUUUUUUGACUUUAGAAGAAAAUAACGUAUUAGUUUGCCGAUAACGAAACAUAUUCAAUAUCUGUUGAAGUGGUCAG
rnacentral:lncRNA from 1 species